UACAGAGGUCUCAAGCGUUGUUCGGAUUCAUUGGGCGUAAAGGGUGCGUAGGUGGUUGGGUAAGUUUGAUGUGAAAUCUCCGGGCUUAACCCGGAAACUGCAUUGAAUACUAUCUGGCUAGAGGGUUGGAGGGGGGACUGGAAUACUUGGUGUAGCAGUGAAAUGCGUAGAUAUCAAGUGGAACACCAGUGGCGAAGGCGAGUCCCUGGACAACUCCUGACACUGAGGCACGAAAGCUAGGGGAGCAAACAGG
rnacentral:rRNA from 1 species